rnacentral:lncRNA from 1 species
CCUCCGAACGACUUGAAUCUAGUCACAAACAACUUAAUACAAUUAGUACAAUCUAUAUGAAUCGAUUCCAUAUGAUAAAGCUAAAUUCUUUAACCAAAGUAAAAAAGUCAACCCAAAAAGUCAUCCUUGAGCCCACGUUUCAGAAUCAGACAAAAUUUACAAAAUCCGAAUGCACAUUCAAUAACGAGUCCAACCAUACUAAAAUUACUAAAUUACGAUCUCAACUCGACCUUCAAAUCCUCAAAUUAUAGUCUAUGAAGUUUCACAAUUUUUUCCUCAAUUUCUCCAACCCAAAACACUAAUUAAAUGAUAAAAAUAAUGAUAGAUUCAUGUACAACAACCAAAACCGAGUUAGAAUCACUUAUUCUAAUCAACUCCUUAAAAAUUCCAUCAAGAAUCGCCCAAAUCCGAGGUCUCUAGCUCAAAAUAUGAAAAAUAGGUUCAAACCUCGAUUUUGAAAUUUAAUAAUUGCUGCCCAAAGGUCUUUCUUCGCAAACGCGGAAAGUGCCUCGCAUUCGUGAAACACAAAAUUCAACUGCCCAAAAAAUCCUCUUACGCGAACGCGAAGGACCCAUUGCAAACGCGAUGCUUCACAGUGCUUUGCCUACGCGAACGCGUUCCCUUGACUGCGAACGUGAAGGCUUAAGGCCUGGUGCCCAAGCUUGCCUCAUCCUUCUACGCGAACGUGAGCACCUCCUCGCGAUCGCGAUGCUCAAACUCCCUUCACCUUCGUUAACACGGAGAGCAAACUUCUCUUGCCUCCCAGAUACCCUUCGCGAACGCGAGACCUCUCUCGUGAAUGCGUAUAAGGAAACCAGACACCAGAAAAAUCUACAGCUUUACAAGGCCAAACUCAAUCCGCAAUCAAUCCAAAACUCACCCGAGGCCCCCGAGACCCCAUCCAAACAUACCAACACAUCCUAAAACAUCAUAUGAACUUAGUGGAGGCCUCAAAUCACAUCAAACAACAUAAAAACACGAAUCGCACCCCAAUUCAAGCCUAACGAACUAAUGGAUUUCCAACUUCUACAAUUGAUGCCGAAACCUAUCAAACCAACUCCGAUUGACCUUAAAUUUUGCACACAAAUCAUAAAUGACACAACGGACGGACCUAUUCCAACUUUCGAAACUAAAAUCUGAGCUCGGUAACAAUAAAGUCAACUCUCGGUCAAACUUCUCAACUCUCCAAACUUUAACCUUUUCCAACUUUCGCCAAUUCAAGCCAAAUUCACCUACGGACCUCCAAAUCAAUAUCCGGACAUACUCCAAAGUCCAAAAUCACCAUGCAGAGCGAUCAGAACAAUCAAAACUCCCUUCCGAGGUCACUUACACACAAGUCAACAUCCGUUCAACUCAGGCUUCCAACCUUGGGACUAAGUGUUCCAAUUUAUUCCGAAACAUCUCCGAAACCAAACCAACCAUCCCUACAAGUGACAUAACAACAAACGAACACAAAAUAAGCAAUAAAUGGGGGAACGAGGCUACAAUACUAAAAACGAUCAGCUGGGUCGUUACACUUUUGUUGUUAGCCUUAUAAUAAAAUUCUGUUUUGUUGUCAUUUAUUGCUUUUACUUUCCGUUGUUAGAUUAUAUUAAUAUUCUGCACAUGUUUCUAUGUCUAGUAAGUGUCUUGACUUGACCUCGUCACUACUCCACCGAAGUUGGUCUUGAUACUUACUAGGUACCGUUAUGAUGUACUCAUACUACACUUCUACACAUUUUUGUGCAGAUCAGGUACUCCCGUGCCAGACGCUAGUGAGUUGAAUCAGAUAUCACGAAAACUUCAAGGGAUACCUGCUUGACGCUCGCAGGCCUCGAAGUCACCUUCUAGUGAUCAUAUGCUACUAUUUCUUUUGUUUCCAAACAAUAUUGUAAUAGAGAUUCCUAGUGUAUUUCAAUAGAGCUUAAGACUCCGUACUACCGAUUUUGGGGUGUAUUACUAUUUGGUCAUUUUGUCGAUGCUAUGUCACUUAUCCGUUUACGCUUUUAAGUUAAUUAAAUUUAACUAGUUAUUCUUAUCAUGUGUUAGGCUUACCUAGUAUUAGAGACUAGGUGCAAUCACGAUUCCUAAGGUGGGAUUUUGGGGUCAUGACAUUUAUUGAUUUUCAGUUAAAGAGUUUUUAAUUGGGCAAGUUGGGUAAUAUGGUUAUGAGUCUCGUCAGUUAACACCAAAUAUAAUAUUAGGCCGAACCAAUAACAUAUACUUCCUUCGUUUCAAUUUAUAUGAACCUAUUUGACCGGAUAUAGAGUUUGAGAAAAAAAGAGAAUGACUUUUGAACUUGGGGGGUAAAAUGAGGUACAUAUUUUUUGUGUGUCAAUAAAUUAUUGCAUAAAGGUAAAUUGUUUCAAAUACGGAAAUUGGGUAUUACAUUGUUUCAAAUACGGAAAUUGGACAUUCUUUUUGGCACGGAUUUAAAAUGAAAUACAUUCACAUAAAUUGAUAAAUUGAAAUGAAAAGAGUAAUUUUUGUCAUUUUUAAGCAUACUAUUAUAUACAAUACCUUUUGUCAUUUUUGAGCAUUUAUAAUCGUUUAAACUAAUUGUUCAACUGAUAUUAGUAUUAAUAAUAGUAACACAUAAGUAAGUUGGAAUUAAUUGCUGAUAUCGUCGGUUGUAGCAAAGUGAAUGUGAUAUUCAGGAAAUUACCAAUGAGGCUAGCAGCAGCACCAGCAACAGCAAUUGGGGCUCCCUCGUUAUUUCCUCCUAACACUACUACUAGGAGUACUACUUUGGCAUAUUUGCCGGUCUCUUCUACUUCACCACCCCCAACUACUUACAUCUUCUCGCUUUCCAUCACCCCCAUCUCAGGUUUCUCUCUAUUUGUUUGUGUGCAAAAGUGGGUAAAUUGUCUACUUUGCUGCUUGAUGGACCCUUCAAUAUCAAAAUCUAUGUGCCAAGAUUUUUGCAGAAACACAAUUUUGAGAGUAAAGCUGAGGCUUUUUUCAUCUUUAGAUGACAACUAAGUGACUGAAAUGUGAAAGUAAAGGAUAAUUAUUGGAUUGGUAUUAGCAAUACUUUUUUGUUAUAGGUGAAUUUUCUGCUUGAUGGACCCGUCAAAAUCAAAUUAUUUCUUGCAGAAUUAUAAUCCAGAUGUUAAAGUUGGGUGGGUUUUUUUCUUGUUGCCUUUAAAUGACAAUUGAGGAAAAUGAUUAGAUGGGUAUUUUCGUACUUUUUUNNN